rnacentral:rRNA from 1 species
GACGAACGCUGGCGGCGUGCUUAACACAUGCAAGUCGAACGGAAAGGCCCUGCUUUUGUGGGGUGCUCGAGUGGCGAACGGGUGAGUAACACGUGAGUAACCUGCCCUUGACUUUGGGAUAACUUCAGGAAACUGGGGCUAAUACCGGAUAGGAGCUCCUGCUGCAUGGUGGGGGUUGGAAAGUUUCGGCGGUUGGGGAUGGACUCGCGGCUUAUCAGCUUGUUGGUGGGGUAGUGGCUUACCAAGGCUUUGACGGGUAGCCGGCCUGAGAGGGUGACCGGCCACAUUGGGACUGAGAUACGGCCCAGACUCCUACGGGAGGCAGCAGUGGGGAAUAUUGCACAAUGGGCGGAAGCCUGAUGCAGCAACGCCGCGUGCGGGAUGACGGCCUUCGGGUUGUAAACCACUUUCGCCUGUGACGAAGCGUGAGUGACGGUAAUGGGUAAAGAAGCACCGGCUAACUACGUGCCAGCAGCCGCGGUAACAC